GCCAGCGUGGCUCAGUGGUAGAGCAAUGCUUUCGUAAAGCAUGGGUCGUGGGUUCAAUUCCCACCGCUGGCU
rnacentral:tRNA from 1 species